rnacentral:rRNA from 1 species
GGCNGNGNGGGUGCUUACCAUGCAGUCGAACGAUGAUCCCAGCUUGCUGGGGGAUUAGUGGCGAACGGGUGAGUAACACGUGAGUAACCUGCCCUUAACUCUGGGAUAAGCCUGGGAAACUGGGUCUAAUACCGGAUAUGACUCCUCAUCGCAUGGUGGGGGGUGGAAAGCUUUUUGUGGUUUUGGAUGGACUCGCGGCCUAUCAGCUUGUUGGUGAGGUAAUGGCUCACCAAGGCGACGACGGGUAGCCGGCCUGAGAGGGUGACCGGCCACACUGGGACUGAGACACGGCCCAGACUCCUACGGGAGGCAGCAGUGGGGAAUAUUGCACAAUGGGCGAAAGCCUGAUGCAGCGACGCCGCGUGAGGGAUGACGGCCUUCGGGUUGUAAACCUCUUUCAGUAGGGAAGAAGCGAAAGUGACGGUACCUGCAGAAGAAGCGCCGGCUAACUACGUGCCAGCAGCCGCGGUAAUACGUAGGGCGCAAGCGUUAUCCGGAAUUAUUGGGCGUAAAGAGCUCGUAGGCGGUUUGUCGCGUCUGCCGUGAAAGUCCGGGGCUCAACUCCGGAUCUGCGGUGGGUACGGGCAGACUAGAGUGAUGUAGGGGAGACUGGAAUUCCUGGUGUAGCGGUGAAAUGCGCAGAUAUCAGGAGGAACACCGAUGGCGAAGGCAGGUCUCUGGGCAUUAACUGACGCUGAGGAGCGAAAGCAUGGGGAGCGAACAGGAUUAGAUACCCUGGUAGUCCAUGCCGUAAACGUUGGGCACUAGGUGUGGGGGACAUUCCACGUUUUCCGCGCCGUAGCUAACGCAUUAAGUGCCCCGCCUGGGGAGUACGGCCGCAAGGCUAAAACUCAAGGAGAAUUUGACGGAA